rnacentral:rRNA from 1 species
UACGAGAGGCCCAAACGUUAUUCGGAAUUACUGGGCUUAAAGAGUCCGUAGGCGGCGCAGAAAGUAGGGUGUGAAGGCCCUCGGCUUAACCGAGGAAUUGCGCUCUAAACUACUGUGCUUGAGGAACCUAGAGGUGAGCGGAACUGAUGGUGGAGCGGUGAAAUGCGUUGAUAUCAUCAGGAACACCGGAGGCGAAGGCGGCUCACUGGGGGUUAUCUGACGCUGAGGGACGAAAGCCAGGGGAGCGAACGGG